UACGUAGGGUGCGAGCGUUGUCCGGAAUUAUUGGGCGUAAAGGGCUCGUAGGCGGUUUGUCGCGUCGGGAGUGAAAACUCAGGGCUUAACCCUGAGCCUGCUUCCGAUACGGGCAGACUAGAGGUAUGCAGGGGAGAACGGAAUUCCUGGUGUAGCGGUGAAAUGCGCAGAUAUCAGGAGGAACACCGGUGGCGAAGGCGGUUCUCUGGGCAUUACCUGACGCUGAGGAACGAAAGUGUGGGGAGCGAACAGG
rnacentral:rRNA from 1 species